GACGGUUUCUCGAGUUCACGCGGGAAUUUAUGAUGGAGUUAUACUAAAAUAGCGGGUUUCGAUUUAGGGUUAAAAGAAGGUAGGCUUAUGUAUAGUUAACAUCACUUGAAGAGACGUUUAAGUGUACUACAACGCUAAUUUGACAAGAGUCUAUCAAGUGACAGGCUUAUCUAAUUAUGGAUUUGGUGCCUUUCCAGACUCCAUAGUGACCUCAAACUGUGCAAUAUCCGCCUUCACUGUCUCUCAGGAUGGUCUUCACCUGGCCUGUGGGCCAGAGAUUAUAGGCAGAGAGAUGGGGCGAAGAGAUGACAUUAUACCGAGGGAGAAUUUCAGUCCAUUCAUCUCUGCACCACGACUGCUGAUGGGACUCUGGCGCAAGAGCCUGCUUGCGGCGAUGCAAGCCUGUUGCAGUGCCUUUUGGGUUUGCCUUCUCAGCAUGGGAUAA
ensembl:lncRNA